rnacentral:rRNA from 1 species
CCUAGGUGGGCAGCAGUGGGGAAUAUUGCACAAUGGAGGAAACUCUGAUGCAGCAACGCCGCGUGGAGGAUGACACUUUUCGGAGCGUAAACUCCUUUUAUAUAGGAAGAAGAUGACGGUACUAUAUGAAUAAGCGCCGGCUAACUCCGUGCCAGCAGCCGCGGUAAUACGGAGGGCGCAAGCGUUACUCGGAAUCACUGGGCGUAAAGAGCGUGUAGGCGGAUUAAAAAGUCAGAAGUGAAAUCCUAUAGCUUAACUAUAGAACUGCUUCUGAAACUCUUAAUCUAGAAUAUGGGAGAGGUAGAUGGAAUUUCUGGUGUAGGGGUAAAAUCCGUAGAGAUCAGAAGGAAUACCGAUUGCGAAGGCGGUCUACUAGAACAUUAUUGACGCUGAGACGCGAAAGCGUGGGGAGCAAACAGGAUUAGAUACCCCAGUAGUC